CAGUGUCAAGACUUGUUUCUAGAGGAAUCUUCUUAUCCUGCUUCUUACUUUGGUCAGUUGUAUUCAGUAAAGGGUAGAUGAGUGACUGAGUUACUAAAAUGUCACACAAUUAAAACAAAAGCAAGGGCAAACACGACAAAACAAUAAGGAAACUCAGCAAAGUGAAGGCACGGUCUGUGUCCUAGUUCAUUGCCAGCUUCUUCUAUGCAGCAGUGUACAAAACAGGACCCAAGAGUGAGGACUGAGAUUGGAAAUUAGAAAAGAAGGAACAUACCUAAUGAGGAGAAAUCAGGCUCCUGUGGGCUUUGGCCUUUACUAGUCAGAUUUCACAGUGGUGAGCUGAAUUCCCCUGACACCAAUGCAACCCUACUCACCCUCAGCAUGCCUCAAAUGAAUGAUCAGCAAAUUUUUUCAGGAUGUUAAGAAUGCCAACUAGCUAUUCUAGAAAUUACAUAAAAAGCCUCAAUAAUUUUUGUGAUGUGCUUCACAGGGCACUUGAGUUUAUUAAACUGUCUCCAUAUUUGAAGAGUUUUCCACUCAAACGAAUGAACGGCAUUUCUCCAAGCAAGACCCUGGGAGGAGUGGAGCUAUAAGUAAAAUCACUAACAGAUGAGAUGAAUACAGAAGAUGAACAGAAGUCAGGCUGGGGACACACAAAAGGAUUACUGGAUGAUUUACACCAGAUUUGUCCAAGAGAUCAGAGGGAAGUCUUGAUUAGAGGUUUGGCUAGGUUUUUAUAUCAUGUCUAAUCCUUACCAAACUCCCUUGUCCUGGUAGAUCUGGUAGCCUCCUGUAUCCAGUUAUAAAAUAACUGAGAUGAGAUCCCCACCACAAAGAUUACAACCAAUUCCACAAACCUUUGACCUGUGGAAACCUGCUACUCAGCUUCAGGCAACUGGACUAGCUGCUAGCAUUUGUUUAACUUAGUGAAAAUACAGACAAGUGAGGCCUUCAGUGAUCUGGAUGUUUUGGGACCUCAUGGAUGAUUCGUCGAUUCGCUCUUGGAAUAAUUUCUGCUUCACUUUGUCGAACAGCUUCUAUUUAAGGGAUUUCUUGACUCAACAGUUGUGGACCAGGAUGAUGGAGCUGCCAGGCAGGAGGAAAAGAGGAAGACCUCAGAGGAGAUUCAUGGCUGGAGAUGAUCCACUGUAGCAACCCCUGAAGCAAGCAAUUCAAAGAAGAAGUGGCCUGUACCAUCUGAUCUAGGUGAUUUCAACGUUAUCUUGCUAUGAUAAUGUGGUGGGGCGUGGCCUGCGGUGCCGUGCAGGGAAGGUGGAUGCACCUGCACGGCAUCUGCAAUCAUGCACUGCCGACUUAAAUAUUGUACUGGGUCCUGUGGUUGGGGUUUUUGUGGUAAUGUUGAGCGGGCAGCGGGAGAGCUGUAGCUCUGUGUGCAUU